UUUCCCCCCAAAUUCACAGAGGUCUCUUUUCCCCUUCACCUUCAACCAUCGAUUCUUCAAUACCUUGUCCAUCACCAUCCUCAACAAGCUUCACUACAAGCUAUUUGACUCCCUCAUUCUUUUCAGCUUUGAUUUGCUCCAUUCCCAGUUAGGCUUUGCUCAAAAAAGCAGUUUGUUGAAGUGAACAGCAUCAUUCCUUCUUAGUUUUUCUCUGCCUUUCUAUUGGAUCCUUCAACUAAAGCUCAAAAAUCUUCAAGAGUGUAGAAUAUGAAUUCUAAUCGUGAGUGGAUGUAUGCUAGAUUGGAAAAUAGAUUCAUUAAUCCUAGAUUUAUUGCUGGGGUUGAGGAGUUUGUUGCUUUGCUAAAAGUCAUCCACAAUGCAUGGAUGGCGAAAAACUAAGAUGUCCUUGUAAUCAUCAUAAAUGCCGGAAUAGAAAUAUCUUAGAUGAAAUUACUGUUAUGGUACAUCUUGGAAGACACGGUUUUGUACCGAAUUGUUAUUUUUGGUAUCACCAUGGUGAAAGUUAUAUUCCAUAUCCAGGAGUAUGUAAUGUUAAUCAAGAAGAAAUAGUUGGUGAAACUGUACAACAAGAAACUCAUAAUCCCCAAUCUCAUAACUCAUUUCAAUCUAUGGUUUUUGAUGUUGCUGGGCCAUCUUAUGAUCGAAACUUAGAAGAGGACCCGAAUCCAACAACUCAACAUCUUUAUAAUAUGCUCAAAGCAUCAGAACAGGAAGUAUGGGUGGGAAACCCACACGGACAUUCGCAGUUGUCUGCCGUUGCUAGACUGUUGAAUCUAAAGGCAGAACAUCAUUUUUCUGAAAGGUGUUAUGAUGACUUAUGUCAACUUUUAUCAGAAUUGAUGUCGACUGAUAAAAAAAGCUAAUGCGAGGCUUGGGCUUGCCAGUAGAAAAGAUUGAUUGUUGCAACAAUGGUUGUAUGAUUUAUUGGCGCGAAGAUAAUGAACUUGAUAGUUGCAAGUUUUGUAGCCAUCCUCGGUUUAAGAGAUCAAAACUUAGACGUACCGAGCAAAAAACUAAUAUUUCCUAUAAGAAGAUGUAUUAUUUUCCUUUAA